rnacentral:rRNA from 1 species
UGCGGAAGGAUCAUUAUUGAAAUAAACCUGAUGGGUUGUUGCUGGUUCUCUAGGGAGCAUGUGCACGCCUUGUCAUCUUUAUAUCUCCACCUGUGCACCUUUUGUAGACCUUCCGGGUCUAUGUUGCUUCAUUUACCCCAAUGUAUGUUAAUAGAAUGUUGUGAUUAUAAAAAAUAUACAACUUUCAGCAACGGAUCUCUUGGCUCUCGCAUCGAUGAAGAACGCAGCGAAAUGCGAUAAGUAAUGUGAAUUGCAGAAUUCAGUGAAUCAUCGAAUCUUUGAACGCACCUUGCGCUCCUUGGUAUUCCGAGGAGCAUGCCUGUUUGAGUGUCAUUAAUAUAUAUAUCAACCUUCACUUGUUGAAUGGUUUGGAUGUGGGGGUUUGCUGGACUCUUGAAGGGUUCAGCUCCUCUGAAAUGCAUUAGCAGAACAAUCUGUUCAUUGGUGUGAUAACUAUCUACGCUCUUGAAUAAGAUGCAGUUCAGCUUUCUAACUGUCCUUGGACAAUUUAUCAUUUAUGUGACCUCAAAUCAGGUAGGACUACCCGCUGAACUUAA